rnacentral:misc_RNA from 1 species
AACGCACCUUGCGCUCCUUGGUAUUCCGAGGAGCAUGCCUGUUUGAGUGUCAUGAAAUUCUCAACCCUCCUCACUUUUGUGUGAAGGGCUUGGACUUGGGGGAUUGUUACUGCUGGUCUCUUCUGAUCGGCUCCCCUUGAAUGCAUUAGCCCGGGACCUUUGCCUCCCAGCCAGUUUCACGGUGUGAUAGUCUAUCAACGCCGGUGUUAAUUGGUGUUCAGGUGUGGCAAGACAGCGGUCCGGCUCUCUAACGGACUUUUGAAGUCAACUCUUACCCAAUCUGACCUCAAAUCAGGUAGGACUACCCGCUGAACUUAA